ACGCUGGCGGCAGGCCUAACACAUGCAAGUCGAGCGGUAGAGAGAAGCUUGCUUCUCUUGAGAGCGGCGGACGGGUGAGUAAUGCCUAGGAAUCUGCCUGGUAGUGGGGGAUAACGUUCGGAAACGGACGCUAAUACCGCAUACGUCCUACGGGAGAAAGCAGGGGACCUUCGGGCCUUGCGCUAUCAGAUGAGCCUAGGUCGGAUUAGCUAGUUGGUGGGGUAAUGGCUCACCAAGGCGACGAUCCGUAACUGGUCUGAGAGGAUGAUCAGUCACACUGGAACUGAGACACGGUCCAGACUCCUACGGGAGGCAGCAGUGGGGAAUAUUGGACAAUGGGCGAAAGCCUGAUCCAGCCAUGCCGCGUGUGUGAAGAAGGUCUUCGGAUUGUAAAGCACUUUAAGUUGGGAGGAAGGGUUGUAGAUUAAUACUCUGCAAUUUUGACGUUACCGACAGAAUAAGCACCGGCUAACUCUGUGCCAGCAGCCGCGGUAAUACAGAGGGUGCAAGCGUUAAUCGGAAUUACUGGGCGUAAAGCGCGCGUAGGUGGUUUGUUAAGUUGGAUGUGAAAUCCCCGGGCUCAACCUGGGAACUCCAUUCAAAACUGACUGACUAGAGUAUGGUAGAGGGUGGUGGAAUUUCCUGUGUAGCGGUGAAAUGCGUAGAUAUAGGAAGGAACACCAGUGGCGAAGGCGACCACCUGGACUAAUACUGACACUGAGGUGCGAAAGCGUGGGGAGCAAAC
rnacentral:rRNA from 1 species